rnacentral:rRNA from 1 species
UGAGGAAUUUUCCGCAAUGGGCGAAAGCCUGACGGAGCGACGCCGUGUGGGUGAUGAAGGCCUUCGGGUCUUAAAGCCCUGUCAGCGAGGAUGAUAUUGACAGUACUCGCAGAGGAAGCCCCGGCUAACUACGUGCCAGCAGCCGCGGUAAUACGUAGGGGGCGAGCGUUGUCCGGAAUUACUGGGCGUAAAGAGCAUGUAGGCGGUUUUGUAAGUCAGAUGUUAAAUCCUCGGGCUCAACCCGGGUACGCAUUUGAUACUGCAUAAGCUAGAGAAAUGUAGAGGAAAGCGGAACUUCCGGUGUAGCGGUGAAAUGCGUAGAUAUCGGAAGGAACACCAGUGGCGAAGGCGGCUUUCUGGACAUUUUCUGACGCUGAGAUGCGAAAGCUAAGGGAGCAAACGGG